CAGCAGCCGCGGUAAUACAGAGGGUGCGAGCGUUAAUCGGAUUUACUGGGCGUAAAGCGUGCGUAGGCGGCUUCUUAAGUCGGAUGUGAAAUCCCUGAGCUUAACUUAGGAAUUGCAUUCGAUACUGGGAAGCUAGAGUAUGGGAGAGGAUGGUAGAAUUCCAGGUGUAGCGGUGAAAUGCGUAGAGAUCUGGAGGAAUACCGAUGGCGAAGACAGCCAUCUGGCCUAAUACUGACGCUGAGGUACGAAAGCAUGGGGAGCAAACAGGAUUAGAUACCCCGGUAGUCCCUGUCUCUUAUAA
rnacentral:rRNA from 1 species